rnacentral:rRNA from 1 species
AUACGGAGGGUGCAAGCGUUAUCCGGAUUUAUUGGGUUUAAAGGGUCCGUAGGCGGGCUUGUAAGUCAGUGGUGAAAUCCGGCAGCUCAACUGUCGAACUGCCAUUGAUACUGCAAGUCUUGAGUAAAGUAGAAGUGGCUGGAAUAAGUAGUGUAGCGGUGAAAUGCAUAGAUAUUACUUAGAACACCAAUUGCGAAGGCAGGUCACUAUGUUUUAACUGACGCUGAUGGACGAAAACGUGGGUAGC